UACGAAGGGGGCUAGCGUUGCUCGGAAUCACUGGGCGUAAAGCGCACGUAGGCGGACUCUUAAGUCGGGUGGUGAAAUCCUGGAGCUCAACUCCAGAACUGCCUUCGAUACUGAGAGUCUUGAGUCCGGGAGAGGUGAGUGGAACUGCGAGUGUAGAGGUGAAAUUACGUAGAUAUUCGCAAGAACACCAGUGGCGAAGGC
rnacentral:rRNA from 1 species